rnacentral:lncRNA from 1 species
AGCGACGGCGGUCUGCGGCUGUCGGUUCUGUUUGUUGCUGUCACUGCUGUUUGUUCUUGCCAGCGGCUAGGGUCUGGCUGUUUUGCCCAGAAUGGAGUGCAGUGGCGUGAUGGUCUCGGCUGACAGCAGCCUCGACCUCCUGGGCUCAAGCCUUGGCCUCCCAAAGUGCUGGGAUUACAGGUAUGAGCCACCAUGCCCGGCCCUCCCUUUCUUUUGUGUCUUUGGAUUUGUCUUUGUGGAGAGGGUACCAGCCACCAUCCUGUGAGGAAGCCCAGAGCACAUGAAGAGACCACCUGCACAUGUUCAGAUCCACUGCCCCAGCUAAGAUCUCCGCUGACAGCCAGACCAAUCACCAAUCUUAGGAGCUGGCGAGCCUUCAGAUGGUCCAACCUUUGAGGCCCCCCAGAGGAGCCAGGUGGAGCAUAGAUGAGCCAUCCAUGUGGAUCCCUCCACCAAAUGGAAGAUUUAGGAGCAAAAUAAACAAUGUUGUCAUUGCUUUC